rnacentral:rRNA from 1 species
AUUGAACGCUGGCGGCAUGCCUUACACAUGCAAGUCGAACGGUAACGCGGAGCAACCUGGCGACGAGUGGCGAACGGGUGAGUAAUGUAUCGGAACGUGCCCAGUUGUGGGGGAUAACUGCUCGAAAGAGCAGCUAAUACCGCAUACGACCUGAGGGUGAAAGCGGGGGAUCGCAAGACCUCGCGCAAUUGGAGCGGCCGAUAUCAGAUUAGGUAGUUGGUGAGGUAAAGGCUCACCAAGCCGACGAUCUGUAGCUGGUCUGAGAGGACGACCAGCCACACUGGGACUGAGACACGAGCCAGACUCCUACGGGAGGCAGCAGUGGGGAAUUUUGGACAAUGGACGCAAGUCUGAUCCAGCCAUGCCGCGUGCGGGAAGAAGGCCUUCGGGUUGUAAACCGCUUUUGUCAGGGAAGAAACGCUCUGGGUUAAUACCUCGGGGUAAUGACGGUACCUGAGGAAUAAGCACCGGCUAACUACGUGCCAGCCGCCGCAGUAA